CCGAGCCCUGCCGCGCGGGAGGCGGCUGAGGCCCCGUGAGAAUUCGAGCGCCGCAGGGGCAGGCUGGCAGUGCUGGGGGACCCGGUGCACUCUCCGCAGCUGCUGGCUCGGGUGCUAAGCCCCUCACUGCCUCGGGCCAGCGGUGCCGACCCGCCGCUCCAAGUGCGGGGCGGGCGGAGCCCGCGCCCACCUGGAACUCGCGCGGGCCCGCCAGCGCCAACCGCAGCCGCGGUUCCCGCCCGCGCCUCUCCCUCCACACCUCCCCGCAAGCAGAGGGAGCCGGCUCCGGCCUUGGCCAGCCCAGAGACAGGCUCCCACAGUGCAGCGGCGGGCUGAAGGGCUCCUCAAGCACUGCCAGAGUGGACACCGAGGCCGAGGAGACGCCAAGAGCGAAAAUUUUUGUUUUCCAUGACUGCAAGAAAUACUGCUGAACAAGACAUUUCUUCAUCAUCCUUGAUGAAAGAUGAACAUUAAUAAUGCAGAUAGAAAUCA
rnacentral:lncRNA from 10 species